GGAUGCCGUCGACUGCACCCGCCUCGCCUGUGCCUGGCCUGGCUCGCCUCGUGGCGUGGGGGCGAAAAGGGACAGGCGGCGGAGCGCUCACCGGCCGUGGACAGGAGCUGCCCUAAGGGAAGCUGGAAUGGCCAGAGAAAGGUGAAGAAGAAGAAGAAGAAGAGAUGGAAGGCUCUCCGGCCGGCAGCUGCCUCCCGCUGCAGGCAAGAGAGCGCCUGCCUCGCCGCGCGGAGGACAGCCGAGCGACCGGAGUGACAGCAAAGGAAAGGCGGAGAGCAGGAGAAAGAAGCGUCUGCGCUGGCAAGCUCUCCCGGCAGCGCCGAGAGCCAGAGCUGCGGUGCUGCUGCGCCGAUGCUCCGUACGUUCGCAGUAACGGGUAGAGCGGAAGGCUCCGUGGCCAGGGAAGAGCGGCACGG